rnacentral:rRNA from 1 species
GAGUUUGAUCAUGGCUCAGAUUGAACGCUGGCGGCAGGCUUAACACAUGCAAGUCGAACGGUAGCAGGAGAAAGCUUGCUUUCUUGCUGACGAGUGGCGGACGGGUGAGUAAUGCUUGGGAAUCUGGCUUAUGGAGGGGGAUAACUACGGGAAACUGUAGCUAAUACCGCGUAGAAUCGGAAGAUGAAAGUGCGGGACCGCAAGGCCGCAUGCCAUGAGAUGAGCCCAAGUGGGAUUAGGUAGUUGGUGGGGUAAAGGCCUACCAAGCCCGCGAUCUCUAGCUGGUCUGAGAGGAUGACCAGCCACACUGGAACUGAGACACGGUCCAGACUCCUACGGGAGGCAGCAGUGGGGAAUAUUGCGCAAUGGGGGCAACCCUGACGCAGCCAUGCCGCGUGAAUGAAGAAGGCCUUCGGGUUGUAAAGUUCUUUCGGUAUUGAGGAAGGUUGAUGUGUUAAUAGUACAUCAAAUUGACGUUAAAUACAGAAGAAGCACCGGCUAACUCCGUGCCAGCAGCCGCGGUAAUACGGAGGGUGCGAGCGUUAAUCGGAAUAACUGGGCGUAAAGGGCACGCAGGCGGUUAUUUAAGUGAGGUGUGAAAGCCCCGGGCUUAACCUGGGAAUUGCAUUUCAGACUGGGUAACUAGAGUACUUUAGGGAGGGGUAGAAUUCCACGUGUAGCGGUGAAAUGCGUAGAGAUGUGGAGGAAUACCGAAGGCGAAGGCAGCCCCUUGGGAAUGUACUGACGCUCAUGUGCGAAAGCGUGGGGAGCAAACAGGAUUAGAUACCCUGGUAGUCACGCUGUAACGCUGUCGAUUUGGGGAUUGCGUUAAAAGCUUGGUGCCGGUAGCUAAUGGGAUAAAUCGACCGCGGGGGGAGUGCGGCCGCAGGUUUAAAACUCAAUUGAAUGGGCGGGGCCCCCCCCACGCGCCGCCCCCCGUGGUUUAAUUCGAUGCAACGCGAAGACCCUUACCUACCUCGGGGCAUCCUCCCCCCCCCCCCCCCCCACGGGAGUGCCUUCGGGAACCAAAAAAAAGGUGCUGCAUGGCUGUCGUCAGCUCGUGUUGUGAAAUGUUGGGUUAAGUCCCGCAACGAGCGCAACCCUUAUCCUUUGUUGCCAGCGAUUUGGUCGGGAACUCAAAGGAGACUGCCAGUGAUAAACUGGAGGAAGGUGGGGAUGACCCCCCCCCAUCAUGGCCCUUACGAGUAGGGCUCCCCCCCCCCCACAAUGGCGUAUACAGAGGGUGGCGAAACUGCGAGGUGGAGCGAAUCUCAGAAAGUACGUCUAAGUCCGGAUUGGAGUCUGCAACUCGACUCCAUGAAGUCGGAAUAGGGAGUAAUCGCGAAUCAGAAUGUCGCGGUGAAUACGUCCACGGGCCUUGCACACACCGCCCGUC